rnacentral:rRNA from 1 species
GGAGGAAAAGAAACUAACAAGGAUUCCCCUAGUAACUGCGAGUGAAGNGGGAAAAGCUCAAAUUUAAAAUCUGGUAGUCUUUGGCUGCCCGAGUUGUAAUCUAGAGAAGCAUUAUCCGCGCUGGACCGUGUACAAGUGUCCUGGAAUGGACUAUCAUAGAGGGUGAGAAUCCCGUCUUUGACACGGACUCCCAGGGCUUUGUGAUGUGCUCUCAAAGAGUCGAGUUGUUUGGGAAUGCAGCUCUAAAUGGGUGGUAAAUUCCAUCUAAAGCUAAAUAUUGGCGAGAGACCGAUAGCGAACAAGUACCGUGAGGGAAAGAUGAAAAGAACUUUGGAAAGAGAGUUAAACAGUACGUGAAAUUGCUGAAAGGGAAACGCUUGAAGUCAGUCGCGUCGGCUGGGGAUCAACCUUGCUUCUUGCUUGGCUUACUUCCCAGUUGACGGGUCAGCAUCAGUUUUGACCAGUGGAUAAAGGUYAAGGGAAUGUGGCACCUCCGGGUGUGUUAUAGCCCUUGGUCAUAUACAUUGGUUGGGACUGA